rnacentral:rRNA from 1 species
AUUGAACGCUGGCGGAAUGCUUUACACAUGCAAGUCGAGCGGCAGCGCGGGGCAACCUGGCGGCGAGCGGCGAACGGGUGAGUAAUGCAUCGGAACAUGUCCAUGUCGUGGGGGAUAGCCCGGCGAAAGCCGGAUUAAUACCGCAUACGCCCGAGAGGGGAAAGUGGGGACCGCAAGGCCUCAUGCGAUUGGGUUGGCCGAUGUCCGAUUAGCUAGUUGGCGGGGUAAGAGCCCACCAAGGCGAUGAUCGGUAGCUGGUCUGAGAGGAUGAUCAGCCACACUGGGACUGAGACACGGCCCAGACUCCUACGGGAGCAGCAGUGGGGAAUUUGGACAAUGGGGGCAACCCUGAUCCAGCCAUUCCGCGUGAGU